rnacentral:rRNA from 1 species
UACAGAGGGGGCUAGCGUUGUUCGGAAUUACUGGGCGUAAAGGGCGCGUAGGUGGCCCGCUAAGUCAGACGUGAAAUCCCUCGGCUUAACCGGGGAACUGCGUCUGAUACUGGAUGGCUUGAGAUUGGGAGAGGGACGCGGAAUUCCUGGUGUAGCAGUGAAAUGCGUAGAUAUCAGGAGGAAUACCGAUGGCGAAGGCAGGGUCUCUGGGCUGACACUGACGCUCAUGCACGAAAGCGUGGGGAGCAAACAGG